rnacentral:rRNA from 1 species
UACGUAGGGGGCAAGCGUUGUCCGGAGUUACUGGGCGUAAAGCGCACGUAGGCGGUCUUUUAAGUCGGGGGUGAAAUCCUGGAGCUCAACUCCAGAACUGCCUUCGAUACUGGAAGACUUGAGUCCGGGAGAGGUGAGUGGAACUGCGAGUGUAGAGGUGAAAUUCGUAGAUAUUCGCAAGAACACCAGUGGCGAAGGCGGCUCACUGGCCCGGAUACUGACGCUGAGGCACGAAAGCGUGGGGAGCAAACAGG